CUUGAGGCUGAAACUGUGAUCUGGUCCUUCUGUCACAGGAUAAAUCCGAACAGCCUGGCCAUAUCAACCCAUUUUAAAGAUAUGUCAACUUUUUACAGACUUCAAAACAAAUUUUAAAUCAAUGCUUUUCAGCCUGACACCUUUUGCUUUUCUGUGAACUUUGUCUGAGCCACAGUCUGACCUAGCAAAUACAGCAAACCUAACUGACAGAAUUAAGCAUAAAUGUGUUGCUUAUAAGAUCAACCAGACAGCUUCCCAUCCUCUAUUUUUACCUCUUCUAAUUUGAACUCUUUCUUUGCUUUACAUUUGUUAGCUGGGUCCCUGUCUUGGGUUUGCAUCACAAGGUUUUGGUAGCAGGGGGGAGCUUCUGCUGGCUCCAGAAGUCAUCAUUGUAGCUCCCCCCUGCUUGACAAAGCCAAUGCCAGCCAGCUACAAGAAAGAUCCACCACUGGAAAAAAUGGACAAGCCCAUCAGCAAUGGUGGCAGCGCCUCUGGGAUAAAAUAGUUAAAGGAAGAACAAAAAACUGCACAGCUACAGCUGAAGAGGAAUGAGAAAAUGUGAGAGAAACAGCCCUGCAGACAUUGAGCACAGAAGGAUGGGGAGGAAGUGCCCUGAUGACGGAGCAGAGAUUUUCCUCCAUUCCAUGGUGCCAACCAUGGUAAGUCCACCUGCCACCCAUGGAGCUCCAUGGGGGAGCAGAGUCCCACCCGUAGCCUAUGGACAACACCAGGUCACAGCAGAUGGAUGCCUGAAGGAGGCUGUCUCACCAGCCCCAAACUAAAACCCUGAGAGUGAGCCAAAGACUUGGCAGGACAAAGUGACUUAAAAGUGCUGACCGUCUGGGGCUAAGAUCAGAUCCAGCCUCACCGAGGCUUUUCUCUGCAAAGGAGUUCAGAAAGGAAGGGGGUCCUCUCUGCACCUCGUGACUCAGUGGGAUGGCUCUUCUAGUAAACUUUGUCUGAAGCUCCCCAUCUCACCCAUGACAACAGGACCUGUGGCCCCAUGGAGAGAGGAGCCCACACUGCAGCAGGUUUGCUGGCAGGACUUGUGAUUCCCACGGGGGAUCCACACUGCAGCAUCUUGUUCCUGAAGGAACAGGGACCCACGCUGGAGCACUUUGUGAGGAGCUGCAGCUUGGGGAAGGACUCAUGCUGAAGAAGUCCAUGGAGGACUGUCUCCCCUGGGAGGAAACCCAUGCUGGAGCAGGGGAAGAAGGUGAGGAGUCCUUCUGCUAAGGAGGAAGGAGCAGCAGAGUCAAUGUGUGAUGAACUGACCACAGCCACAUUAACAGCCCACUCAUCCUGCCUGGGGUAGAGAAUUUGGGACUGAAGUUAAGUUGAGGAAGUUGGGAGGGGUGGGGAAAAGGUGAUUAAAGAUGUUUUCAUUUUCUCAUUAUCUUACUCUGAUUUGGUUGGUUAUGACUUAAAUUUUUUCAUAAACAAAAAGCUUUGGUUUUAUUUAUAGAGUUAUGCUGUAAAGGUACCUAGGAAGGAUGAAUUUCAUAAAUUCUAUGCAUUUCUUAAGUUAGUAAAUACCUUGAAUAGUUAAAAUGACCCUUAGCACUACUUUUGUAGAUACAUAGCUUGCUAGAAUAUUAGGUGAUGGGAAAUUAAAAAUGCUAAUAACUUUUGGCAUUUUUAACAGCAUAUGAAUUAGCAAAGAAAAUGGACUGAGAUUGCUAUUUAUUAUGAAACUUAAUGAUCUUUAUGAGCUUUCACCUCAAAUAGCCACUCAUGUACAUCACAUAAAUGUACACUUACUGUGAUGGUAAUUAAUCAAUCACCAUCCCUUGUCCACCCAGAAUUUUUCUUGCUGAAAAUUUCAAAGCCUUGGCAAAUUGUUCAAAAGGAAUGAAGAGAGGAGAAUAAGAUACUACUAUAAACCAGGUCUAAUCCUAUUACAUGCUGCUGACUGCCUUACUGACAUAUGCUCAACUUACCUUAUUAUUAGUCAUAACUGUUUGUUUUGCAAAGCUGCUUAUAAGAAAAUUCUACUUAUUUGUAAGUAUUUUCCUUAAAGUAUGAGGAAGGACCUGUUUUGCAAAGCUGCUUAUAAGAAAAUUCUACUUAUUUGUAAGUAUUUUCCUUAAAGUAUGAGGAAGGACCUGUUUUGCAAAGCUGCUUAUAAGAAAAUUCUACUUAUUUGUAAGUAUUUUCCUUAAAGUAUGAGGAAGGACCAGUUGUCAAUCUACCAAAAUUCCCACCACGGCAAACUGCGAGAAAGGAAGCAAUUCCUUAUACAUAUGCAGCUCCAGCUGUAGGAAUGCAUCUACACUCUGCAAACCUGGGGCCUGGAUAUUGUAAAAGCGAUGCUUCCACAAGACACUCCAGGACCUACACCACAGAGAAGAACAGAAGAAAAAGGGCCACCAGGAUGCUGCAGGACCUAUAGGGUGGUGACUUUAUUUCUACUUAUGUCUCUUUCUCUUCACCACUCACUCCUCCCUGUACCUCACAUUUACUGUUAAAUAAAAUCUGCACUCUUGACCUUG